rnacentral:rRNA from 1 species
GCUAGCUACAGGCUUAACACAUGCAAGUCGAGGGGCAUCAGGAAGAAAGCUUGCUUUCUUUGCUGGCGACCGGCGCACGGGUGAGUAACACGUAUCCAACCUGCCCUUUACUCGGGGAUAGCCUUUCGAAAGAAAGAUUAAUACCCGAUAGCAUAAUGAUUCCGCAUGGUUUCAUUAUUAAAGGAUUCCGGUAAAGGAUGGGGAUGCGUUCCAUUAGGUUGUUGGUGGGGUAACGGCCCACCAAGCCUUCGAUGGAUAGGGGUUCUGAGAGGAAGGUCCCCCACAUUGGAACUGAGACACGGUCCAAACUCCUACGGGAGGCAGCAGUGAGGAAUAUUGGUCAAUGGGCGCUAGCCUGAACCAGCCAAGUAGCGUGAAGGAUGAAGGCUCUAUGGGUCGUAAACUUCUUUUAUAUAAGAAUAAAGUGCAGUAUGUAUACUGUUUUGUAUGUAUUAUAUGAAUAAGGAUCGGCUAACUCCGUGCCAGCAGCCGCGGUAAUACGGAGGAUCCGAGCGUUAUCCGGAUUUAUUGGGUUUAAAGGGAGCGUAGGUGGACUGGUAAGUCAGUUGUGAAAGUUUGCGGCUCAACCGUAAAAUUGCAGUUGAUACUGUCAGUCUUGAGUACAGUAGAGGUGGGCGGAAUUCGUGGUGUAGCGGUGAAAUGCUUAGAUAUCACGAAGAACUCCGAUUGCGAAGGCAGCUCACUGGACUGCAACUGACACUGAUGCUCGAAAGUGUGGGUAUCAAACAGGAUUAGAUACCCUGGUAGUCCACACAGUAAACGAUGAAUACUCGCUGUUUGCGAUAUACAGUAAGCGGCCAAGCGAAAGCAUUAAGUAUUCCACCUGGGGAGUACGCCGGCAACGGUGAAACUCAAAGGAAUUGACGGGGGCCCGCACAAGCGGAGGAACAUGUGGUUUAAUUCGAUGAUACGCGAGGAACCUUACCCGGGCUUAAAUUGCAGUGGAAUGAUGUGGAAACAUGUCAGUGAGCAAUCACCGCUGUGAAGGUGCUGCAUGGUUGUCGUCAGCUCGUGCCGUGAGGUGUCGGCUUAAGUGCCAUAACGAGCGCAACCCUUAUCUUUAGUUACUAACAGGUCAUGCUGAGGACUCUAGAGAGACUGCCGUCGUAAGAUGUGAGGAAGGUGGGGAUGACGUCAAAUCAGCACGGCCCUUACGUCCGGGGCUACACACGUGUUACAAUGGGGGGUACAGAAGGCAGCUAGCGGGUGACCGUAUGCUAAUCCCAAAAGCCUCUCUCAGUUCGGAUCGAAGUCUGCAACCCGACUUCGUGAAGCUGGAUUCGCUAGUAAUCGCGCAUCAGCCACGGCGCGGUGAAUACGUUCCCGGGCCUUGUACACACCGCCCGUCAAGCCAUGGGAGCCGGGGGUACCAGAAGUACGUAACCGCAAGGAUCGUCCUAGGGUAAAACUGGU